GACACGCCGCCACACCUGCCGACCCCUGCGCAGCACACCCACCCCUACGCUCGGCCACCGCGGUGGCGACGGCCCAGCUCCAGCGCGCCGGCGACCGCGGCGGAGGCCCCGGAGGCGGUCGUCGGGGCGGGCGGCGCGAGGUGGGAGCCGAUGGGCGCGCGGGAGUACUACGACUACCGGCGGGCCAUCUACGGCGACAUCACGCACAAGGCCAUCCUUGUGGACGCCGCCAGCACCCUCCUCGCCCCCACCGAGCCCAUGGCCCAUGUGUACAGAACAGUAGGCGAAAAGUAUGGGGUGAAGUACUCGGAGGAUGAGAUCUUGAUGAGGACCUCGAGGCCUCGGAGAGCCCCUCUGAACAAGACACGCACGGGAGCUCUGCCUUGAUGGGGAAAGCAGCGGAGUUGGUACAGUGGCGAAUGUGGGCGGGGUCGGCCGUGGAGGGAGACUUGCUGGUCGGAGCAGCAGGAGCAAGAAGAUUGAGGCGGUUCAGGGCAAGACAAGAACAUUAGUUGGAUCCAGAGUAUCGAGAUUGCAGAGGACUCAACAAAGGGUCUGCACUUAUUCUAUAAAUUCAGUAUCAGGUUAGUGCCUCUGUUUAGUGAUUAUAUAGAGCUACCUUUUGAACUUGCAGAAACUGAAUGCAUAUAAGAAUCGAGGACCUUUACAGUGGAUGCAUGAUGAUGAUCAUCCACCGAGCAGCAUAUCAUCUUGGAAAAGCAGAUGCGAAUUUCUCCUAGGUAUGCUUCUCCGGUUGUCCCUCGCAUCAACUCUCUCAGCUCCCAAACCAUUAACCUCGUCCUGGUUGUUCCUAUUUUUUUUGUUUUGUUUUUACCAAUGCACUUCUCUUGGCAUGUUUUAGUUUGUUCCUUCCUACGGCCAGCUCGACCAUUUGCUCCGCAGGGAGUUUUUUAGCUCGGAAGGAGCAAAUAAUUUGAGAAUGCAUUGGUCUUUUCUGCAA